rnacentral:rRNA from 1 species
AUGAUCGGCGGCGGCGGCGGACGCAGCCGGCGGCGCGGGCGCGCGUCGGUGACCCUGCCCUCGGGCCCCGCCGCGAGCCGCACUGAGAGCUCCGUCUCCUGCUGGUAUUGUGAGUACAAAAUUUAUGUCUUCAACGACAUGAUAUUCAAUUUGGGGUGGAAACAUGCUAGAUACACCAGAGCAUGGUUUUCCUUAGGAGUUUAUUUCUCUCUCGUUGCUUUAGUUGGUAUAUCUUUGUUGCUAUUGUGGGAUCCAAUUGGUGCAUUAUAUUUUAGACGCGGAUCCAUUAGCGCCUGGUUACCAAAUAUACUGGCUCCCAGCUUCAGCGGAUCAAUAAUGGACACCUCAAUCAUCAUAGCAUCAACAAUCUUAUCUAUUGCUUUUCAUGAAUUCGGACAUGCUAUUGCAGCUGCAAGCGAGGGUGUACAGAUGGAAUAUGUUGCAAUAUUCAUGGCUGUACUUUUUCCUGGGGCAUUAGUUGCUCUGAACUAUGACCUGCUUGAGAAUCUACCCCUCUUUUCAAUGCUUCGGAUAUAUUGCGCGGGAAUUUGGCAUAAUGUUAUAUUUUGUGCAGCAUGUGUGCUGAUGGCAUUAUUACUUCCUUUGGUCCUCUGUCCUCUCUACGUGAGUGGUGAUGGACUUAUUGUCAUGGGAGUCCCACAAUCAUCUUCUCUGUCAAGGUCAUUGUCUGUUCAUGAUGUUAUCUUGUCUGUGGAUGGUCUGAACAUAAGAAGAACUGACGAUUGGAUGAAAAUGCUGGCUCAAGGCACUGUAGAGAAAACCAGUAGUCAUGAGUUUCUUGGUGGUUCUCAGAGCUAUGGUGCUACUAAUUCUGGCAAAGGUUAUUGUGUCCCCAACUCAUGGAUGGAUGCAAGCAAGAAUCUCUGGCAGAUAAAUGACAAGCUAUCUUGCCCAGAUGAACUGAUAGUGUUUGGGAAAUUUUCCUGUAAUGGCUCCGCGUAUUUUCCUGGGACUGACAAAGUAAGUGACAAGAAACAAACUGAGGACUUGUAUUGUUUGAUUGCAAAAGACGUAGUUAAACUUAAAAAAUGUGGAAAUGGAUGGCGUGGUACAGAAGAUGAUGACAGUAACUGUACCUGUUUGGAGGAGGAGUACUGCUUGGUACCUGUUCUUACCCCUGGGUUUUCAUGGAUAGAGAUCUCCUACGCCAGGCCAUAUUCUUUGGAGUGUUUACAGAAAGAAGGAAAUUUUUCGUCAUCACAUGCUACAAAUGAUAACUUCGGUCCGAGUCCUUGUGGGGGAACCUUUGUUUAUGUUGGUGAUCUGUCAUCGACAGCAAGUUCUGUUAAGUUAUCCCCCUACAGGCCCCGAUGGGCAUUCUUCCUUCUUAUUGCAGAUGUUCCCUAUAUCUUGGAAAAUUGUUUAAGUUGUUUGCUUCAUGUGUCUGCGGCAUUGGCUGCCGUUAACUGCCUACCGGUAUACUUUCUAGAUGGGGAUGCGAUUUUGGAGACUGCCUUACGCUACGUUGCUUGGUUUAACCGGAGACAGCAGCGGGUGAUUAUUAAGGGGUCUACGCAAAGCAAGCACCUCCAAAGCAUCAGCGGUAGGUUCAUGGAGGAAAACAAAACUAAUGGGGAGCCCAUACUCAACAACACCGACCUCUUUGGCUGCAGAAUCUUCAAGAUCACAGGAAGGAACCCACUCCAGUACAAGUUUCCUUUCCAUAGCAACUGA